rnacentral:rRNA from 1 species
UGGGGAAUAUUGCGCAAUGGGCGAAAGCCUGACGCAGCGACACCGCGUGCGGGAUGAAGGCCUUAGGGUCGUAAACCGCUUUCGGCAGGGACGAAGCGAAAGUGACGGUACCUGCAGAAGAAGGUCCGGCUAACUACGUGCCAGCAGCCGCGGUAAGACGUAGGGACCGAGCGUUGUCCGGAUUCAUUGGGCGUAAAGCGCGCGCAGGCGGCUUCGUAGGUCGGGUGUGAAAACCAGAGGCUCAACCUCUGGCCUGCACCCGAAACCACGUCGCUAGAGGCAGGUAGGGGAGAUCGGAAUUCCUGGUGUAGCGGUGAAAUGCGCAGAUAUCAGGAGGAACACCGGUGGCGAAGGCGGAUCUCUGGGCCUGUCCUGACGCUGAGGUGCGAAAGCUAGGGGAGCGAACAGG